rnacentral:rRNA from 1 species
GAUGAACGCUGGCGGCGUGCCUAAUACAUGCAAGUCGAGCGAACAGAUGAGGAGCUUGCUCCUCUGACGUUAGCGGCGGACGGGUGAGUAACACGUGGAUAACCUACCUAUAAGACUGGGAUAACUUCGGGAAACCGGAGCUAAUACCGGAUAAUAUAUUGAACUGAAUGGUUCAAUAGUGAAAGACGGUUUUGCUGUUACUUAUAGAUGGAUCCGCGCCGCAUUAGCUAGUUGGUAAGGUAACGGCUUACCAAGGCAACGAUGCGUAGCCGACCUGAGAGGGUGAUCAGCCACACUGGAACUGAGACACGGUCCAGACUCCUACGGGAGGCAGCAGUAGGGAAUCUUCCGCAAUGGGCGAAAGCCUGACGUAGCAACGCCGCGUGAGUGAUGAAGGUCUUCGGAUCGUAAAGCUCUGUUAUUAGGGAAGAACAAAUGUGUAAGUAACUAUGCACGUCUUGACGGUGCCUAAUCAGAAAGCCACGGCUAACUACGUG